rnacentral:rRNA from 1 species
GGGUCAGUAGGUUGGUCGUGCCACCGGUACGUACGGGUCUCACUAAUUCCUCCUUCCUGAAGAACCGUAAUGCCAUUAAUUUGGUGUUGCGGGGAAACAGGACUGUUACUUUGAAAAAAUUAGAGUGUUUAAAGCAAGCUAACGCUUGAAUACAUUAGCAUGGAAUAAUGAAAUAGGACGAUCGAUCCUAUUUUGUUGGUUUCUAGGAUUGACGUAUUGAUUAAUAGGGUUAGUUGGG